rnacentral:ncRNA from 2 species
AUCGUGCUCCGGGGGUCGGUGAAACUCCGAACCGGCGGUAGAGUCCGCGAACCGGGACGGCCCUGAGAUCAGGGGCCAUCCCGGCCGAUCCGGUGGAAUUCCGGAACCGACAGUCACAGUCUGGAUGAAGGUGCACGAG